CCUGAGCGGGGAAGGCGGAGGAAGUGGUCAUUGGGAAGUUUCCUCUGGUUUCAGUCAAUGAUAUCUUUAUAAACAAAUCUUGGAAGCUAUCUCUGACUUUUUCCCUGAAGAUAAAUUCCUAGAGGUAGAAUGCAGACGUUACUGUCCAUGGAAGCUGCUUCUACAGAGCUGUGUACCACAAGGGAGCCAGGAGCCAAGAGAGAAACCAACAGCCAGAAGGGAAGGGCGGGAACCACAGACUCCUCUGGCUGUGGCCCCAACCCUGCUCCCUUCGCAAGGCUCCACCUCCUGUUUCCAUGAGGUCCAGACAGCCCCACCGAAUGAUGACCCAUCAAGCCGCUGGAUGAAGCUAGAGCCCCCAUGAUCCAGUCACUUUCUGCAAGCCCUACCUGUGAACACAGGAGACUUUCAGGGAACACUGCCAAUCUAAAUCACAGCACACAAUAAAAAUAUUGUAGAAGAAUUUG